rnacentral:snRNA from 1 species
AUACUUACCUGGCAGGGGAGAUCCCAUGAUCACGAAUGUGGUUUUCCCAGGGCGCGGCUUAUCCACUGCACUCCGGAUGUGCUGACCCCUGUGAUUUCCCCAAAUGUGGGAAACUCGACUGCAGAAUUUGUAGUAGUGGGGGACUGUGUUCAAGCUCUCCCCUG